ensembl:Mt_tRNA
GGCUCUGUAGUGAAGUUCAUAGUGAGUUGCAAGCUCAUUGAUGCACACUAGCUGUGUGCCGGAGUCU